UACAGAGGUCUCAAGCGUUGUUCGGAUUCAUUGGGUGUAAAGGGUGCGUAGGCGGCGCGGUAAGUCGGGUGUGAAAUCUUGGAGCUUAACUCCGAAACUGCAUUCGAUACUGCCGUGCUUGAGGACUGGAGAGGAGACUGGAAUUUACGGUGUAGCGGUGAAAUGCGUAGAUAUCGUAAGGAAGACCAGUGGCGAAGGCGGGUCUCUGGACAGUUCCUGACGCUGAGGCACGAAGGCCAGGGGAGCAAACGGG
rnacentral:rRNA from 1 species